CUCAUUACGUUCAAAUUAUGCAAGGUAUUAUCGAUUUAUUAAUACAACGAGGCACGUUUAACAAUGCCUUUUAUAGGUUAUUUUAUUGUUUAAUAAUUUAAAACUUGGCAUACAUUAUUAAUACGUUGCAUUAUGCCAUUAUUAGGCACUUAUUUAUAUGGAAAUGGGCCAAUGGCGCAUAUUGUAGUUCAAUUAUUUUGCGUUUAUGGUAAUUCAUGAUGGUAAAUAGUUUCUAUUUAUCAAUAAUUAAUGUAUAAAAAAAAAAAAAAUGCAAUGAUGUACAAAUUUAAAUAUCAACGAACGGCUGCGGAGUAGGUCAGGUUAUAGGUACAUGCUUGUGUUUUAUUAUCU